UACAAUGCAUAUCUGCAAGAACUCUGUAUGGUGAAGCCGACAGGCUCCAAUAAAAAAAUCUGUUCAUUGAAGCUCCAGCUUUUAGAUUGGUAUGCGUCUUCGAAUGCACGUUGGAUGCUGUCACUUUACGGGGAAAAGCACUAAAGUUGGGGAUCCUCUCGCUUCCUAACAAAUGACAAAUGAACAUAUUUAUAUAUAUGUUGGGAUCCUGCCUCAAAGAGUAUAGGCAUCAAUGCAACUAGUACUCUUUUCCUAGCUAACUAAUGGGUUAUAUAUAAGCGUGCAUUUUGUCUGUGAUUGACAGUUGCAGUUCAUUAAUUAAGAGUUUGGCAGUGGUGACUGGUGUGGGACAGUUCUUAAAUCAGCCCUAAGUUCGACGACACCACGGCUUGGAACUUGUUUUCACUGGCCACAAAGCAAACCUUUUGAGCCAAGAAAGGUGUUGCCAAGCCACUCCAUCCCCUUCAAAAUGCUGAUCGCUUAGCCUUUGGGAUCAUAUGUUAGCUGGUCCAAGCUUGUCAUAAAUCAAGAGGUCCGACGCCUUUGGGAGAGUGCAUGAUAAGAUAAUGUGUUACUGUAUUUAACAGAAUCACUGUCUAUUAUUUAGCCUCUGUGCGGUCAAUUAGUUGGUGGUAUCUAAAUUAAACCUAAAUUUUUAAAA